rnacentral:rRNA from 1 species
UACGAAGGGGGCUAGCGUUGCUCGGAAUUACUGGGCGUAAAGCGCACGUAGGCGGAUCUGCAAGUCGGGGGUGAAAUCCCGAGGCUCAACCUCGGAACUGCCUUCGAUACUGCGGGUCUCGAGUCCGGGAGAGGUGAGUGGAAUUCCUAGUGUAGAGGUGAAAUUCGUAGAUAUUAGGAAGAACACCAGUGGCGAAGGCGGCUCACUGGGCCCGGUACUGACG